UGGCCUUUCAUUUUAUUUUCCCACUGCACUGAAACAUGGGACCUCCCCAACCCACCCCCCAGGUCCUGGUCCUCCAUAACCAGUACACUAGUCCCUCAAGCAUUUCCUUGAAAAAUAUUAAAAAAUAGAGGAAGGGGGGUGGGGAUACGGAGGGCCUGAGUGCCCUCCCGGCCAGGAAGUUCCUGGUGGGCACACGGGCAGGAGAGGUGUACUUUGGUUUGCAGAGGGAUCUUGGCUGCUGCACAUGAAGGCACAGGAAGAACACAGGCAGCGGAGCCAUCCCGCUUCAUGCAAACAUAGUCAGCUGUAACCACUGCAGGGCGAGGGGAAGGUUACUGGGAGCAGCAGCAGGACACGUGGCCUUGUCAGUCUCCUUCACCCAUUGUCACCCAUCCCAAAGUCAACCAUUACCAGCCAUGCUUAUGCCCUCCUUGAGGGACCUUCUGGUGACAGGGGUGCGCUCUCUCGCGCUCUCGCGCUCUCUCUCUCUCUCUCUCUCUCUCUCUCUCUCUCC
rnacentral:lncRNA from 1 species